UACGGAGAGUGCAAACGUUGUUCGGAUUCACUGGGCGUAAAGGGCACGUAGGCGGCUCGGCAAAUCAGUCGUGGAAUCCCGACGCUUACCGUCGGAACGGCGGCUGAAAAUACCGGGCUUGAGGGCGUGAGGGGUCACUGGAACUCCUGGUGAAGCGGUGAAAUGCGUAGAUAUCAGGAGGAACACCAGUGGCGAAGGCGGUGCUCUGGGCCGGAACUGACGCUGAGGAGCGAAAGCGUGGGGAGCAAACAGG
rnacentral:rRNA from 1 species